rnacentral:rRNA from 1 species
GCUUACGGCCACACCUCCCUGAGCAGCCCGAUCUCGUCUGAUCUCGGAAGCUAAGCAGGUCGGGCCCGUUAGUACUUGGAUGGGAGACCGCCUGGGAAUACCAGGUGCUGUAAGCC